rnacentral:lncRNA from 1 species
GUCCCAUAGCAAUGCGAAUCCACACUCAGCAAAACAGUCACAAUCGGGAAUAAGUCCCGUUUGGUAAUUAAAAGAUUAGACGACAUAAUGACAAACCACAAUCUACCAUGUGGUAAAAAUGUCCUUAGCUAGUUUGGUUAAACACACAUCGUAUGGAUCCACCAAUUCGUGAUGGUGUCUUUAAAGUUUACGGAGUGUCAAUUU